AGUGAACGCUGGCGGUAGGCCUAACACAUGCAAGUCGAACGGCAGCACAGUAAGAGCUUGCUCUUACGGGUGGCGAGUGGCGGACGGGUGAGGAAUACAUCGGAAUCUACUUUUUCGUGGGGGAUAACGUAGGGAAACUUACGCUAAUACCGCAUACGACCUACGGGUGGAAGCAGGGGAUCUUCGGACCUUGCGCGAUUGAAUGAGCCGAUGUCGGAUUAGCUAGUUGGCGGGGUAAAGGCCCACCAAGGCGACGAUCCGUAGCUGGUCUGAGAGGAUGAUCAGCCACACUGGAACUGAAACACGGUCCAGACUCCUACGGGAGGCAGCAGUGGGGAAUAUUGGACAAUGGGCGCAAGCCUGAUCCAGCCAUACCGCGUGGGUGAAGAAGGCCUUCGGGUUGUAAAGCCCUUUUGUUGGGAAAGAAAAGCAGCAGGUUAAUACCCCGCUGUUCUGACGGUACCCAAAGAAUAAGCACCGGCUAACUUCGUG
rnacentral:rRNA from 1 species